ensembl:rRNA 5S_rRNA 5S ribosomal RNA
GUCUAUGGCCAUACCACCCUGAACGUGCCCAAUCUCAUCUGAUCUCAGAAGCUAAGCAGGUUUGGGUCUGGUUAGUACGUAGGUGGGAGACUGCCUGGGAAUAACAGGUGCUGGAGGCU